CACCUGGUUGAUCCUGCCAGUAGUCAUAUGCUUGUCUCAAAGAUUAAGCCAUGCAUGUCUAAGUAUAAGCUUUAAACGGCGAAACUGCGAAUGGCUCAUUAAAACAGUUAUAGUUUAUUUGGUGAUCGAUUACUAUUUGGAUAACCGUAGUAAUUCUAGAGCUAAUACAUGCGUCAAGGCCCGACUUCGGAAGGGCUGCGUUUAUUAGAUACAGAACCAACCUAGGCUCCGCCUAGUCCUUGUUGGUGAUUCAUAAUAACCCGGCGAAUCGCACGGCUUGUCCGGCGAUGGACCAUUCAAGUUUCUGACCUAUCAGCUAUGGACGGUAGGGUAUUGGCCUACCGUGGCGUUGACGGGUAACGGGGAAUUAGGGUUCGAUUCCGGAGAGGGAGCCUGAGAAACGGCUACCACAUCUAAGGAAGGCAGCAGGCGCGCAAAUUACCCAAUCCUGAUACAGGGAGGUAGUGACAAGAAAUAACAAUACAGGGCAAUUCUGUCUUGUAAUUGGAAUGAGUAGAUUUUAAAUCUCUUUACGAGUAUCAAUUGGAGGGCAAGUCUGGUGCCAGCAGCCGCGGUAAUUCCAGCUCCAAUAGCGUAUAUUAAAGUUGUUGCGGUUAAAAAGCUCGUAGUUGGAUUUCUGCCUUGGGCGACCGAUCCACCUUUCCUACGGGAUUGGUCGGUAUCAGGUUUGACCUUGGCUUUUUCUUGGGAUUCGUGCUCACGUACUUAACUGUGCGUUGACCGUGUUCCAAGACUUUUACUUUGAGGAAAUUAGAGUGUUUCAAGCAGGCUUAUGCCAUGAAUACAUUAGCAUGA
rnacentral:ncRNA from 1 species